GGUCCCUCAUUCCACUUGGUUGACUAGUUCUUAGUCAAACUAAAGUAACAGCCACCUCUUUGUGGGAGAAGAGAUGUGUUUUUAUAAUUUGCUUAAUUAGGAUCAUGGCUUGAGGUUGAUUAUCCUGAAACCCGGGAUGGAUUUCAGAGGGUUUCCAGCAUGCAGGCUUCCACUUGCUUCCAAGAAGGGCAGCUGGGGCUCUGGGCUGCUAGCAGGGCUUGGGAUUGGCUGCGAGGGGCCAGUGGAGGAGAGGAGGAAGCGGACAGUGCUCGGCUAACACUCAGGAGGAGAUGCUGCCUGAAGACCAAAGAAAUAUAUAGAUUUGAGG